UGCUUUUAACUUUUCAAGUGAUUUUCCUUUUUUAAACUUUAUUUUACAUUAAAAAAGUUUUGAUCAAGUCAGUGAACUAUUUAAUCAUAUUGUUACGAACCAUUUAUUAAAUAAGUUAUGUAUUUUUGAACUUAAAAAAGGUAUUAAAAGACUCUAAUUUACUUCUAUUCUUAAGUUAACCGAAAUAAGAGAGAAAUAACUUAAAAAGUGUGUUAUGGACCUUUAAAAGCAUUUUUUUUAUUAUAUAAUUAUAGAGUUUUUUAAUCUACCGAUACCGAAUCUAUACCGAUCGGUAGAUUUCUGAAAAAUCUACCGAUCUACCGAUACCGAUUGGACGCGGCUCGCUACCGACUACCGAUACCGGUGGUAGAUUUUUUCUACAGAAUCCCAGCUCUGCUGUUGACGAAGACUAAUGUGCCGGUCAUAAUAUCAGGCGUUAGUUUCACACACCGUCUCUGUCUGCUUACACUGCCCGUAUAUAAAAACGAUCACAGCCAACUCAACACGCCUUAAAAAACGGAUCAUAGAAGACAACUCAGCCACAUUACUGUUGACGAAGACCAAUGUGACGUUUACAAUAUCAGGCGUUAGUUCCACACACCAUCUCUGUCUGCUUACACUGCCCCGCACCUCAUGUCCCACCAGUACAGUCGCCACCACCUGAUGAGUCUCACCCUUCACCCAGAGCAGCUUGGGCACUAUUACCGUCACCUGAAACCUCUUCUUGGUAUGAUGGAGAACUUGAGGGAUUUGUAAGAGGCGGGUCGGUAGCUCCUGUCAACCUUAAACUUUGCAUUCUAGUUAUUUUUUGGUUUACAUAAGAACGUGAGUCUGCAAGAGGCCAUUCAAUCACUCCUGUAAUCCUAGAUCAGUUUAAACUUUUUACACGAAUUAGUCUUUGGUGUAAUGAACAAAGGGAGUUUGCAAGAGACCAGUCACUUGCUCCUGUAAACCUCUCUCUUAAACUUCUCUUUUUACAUGGGAACUUAAGGAAUCAGUAAGAAGCCAGUUGGUAGCUAAUGUAAACCUAACACAGCUGGUACACACGUUAACCCUUUGUAUAAUGAACAUAGGGAGUCUGCAAGAGGCCAAUCAGUAGUUAAUGUAAACCUAACACAGCUGAUACGCAAUUUAAUCCUCGGUAUAAUAAGCAUAGGGAGUCUGCAAGAGGCCAUUUGUUAGCUCCUAUAAAACUAUCACAGUUGGCACACGAUUUAAUCCUUGGUAUAAUGAACAUAGGGAGUCUGCAAGAGGCCAUUUGUUAGCUCCUAUAAAACUAUCACAGUUGGCACACGAUUUAAUCCUUGGUAUAAUGAACAUAGGGAGUCUGCAAGAGGCCAUUUGUUAGCUCCUAUAAAACUAUCACAGUUGGUACAUGAUUUAAUCUUUGGUAUAAUAAGCAUAGGGAGUCUGCAAGAGGCCAUUUGUUAGCUCCUAUAAAACUAUCACAGUUGGUACAUGAUUUAAUCCUUGGUAUAAUGAGCAUAGGGAGUCUGCAAGAGGCCAUUUGUUAGCUCCUAUAAAACUAUCACAGUUGGUACAUGAUUUAAUCCUUGUUAUAAUGAACAUAAGGGGGAGUCUGCAAGAGGCCUUUCUGUGGCUAACAUAAACCUAACUUCUUUGAGCGAAUUAGUCCUUGGUAAAUGAACGUAAGGAGUCUGCAAGAGGCCAAUCGGUAGCUAAUAUAAACCAAACACACCUGGUACACGAUUUAAUCCUUGGUAUAAUGAACGUAGGGAGUGCAAGAGGUCUGUCAGUAACGCCGAUAGACCAAACACGUCUCCAUGAAACCUCUAUCUUGAUGGUUAGGGUAUUCUUUAUGUCAGGGGCAACGAAAACUUCUCGGCCAAUCAGUUAAGACUCUGGGAAGGGGACGGAGCUCAAGGGACGGGUUAGUUUGCCUGGUGGUGACUAUUUAGUGUGUUCCCUUGACCUGAUAAAGACAGCAUCCCUUCACCCCUUGCAAAUAUCCAUUGGUGUACUUGAAGCAAUAUCACGUCUACCACUCUCAGGCGUUCUUCCUCCUCCCUUGUAGAUGUGUAUAUGCGUUGAUGUUUUAAGAAGACUUUGGAGUGUGUAAAAAGUGUUGUAGUAUAUGUGUGUGUGUGUGUGUUAGAGAGAGAGAGGCUUGAUGUGUGGUUGUUAAAAUGUAUAAUGAGUGAGUCUUUGUGCGUGUGUGUGUGUGAAGGUGUUGUAAAGUGGAAAAUUAACUUACUGAAUGACAAAGCUACCUACAGCCAGUAAUUUAAAAGUAUGGAAAGGCAGUGUCUUGAUAUUACUGAAAAGAUUUACUAUAAGGUUGUGAGUGAGACAGUAGAACAUAACGGAAAAGAUUGUGCAUGGAAAGGCUGGAAAAAUAAUUGAAAGUGGUGAACGGAAAACUGGAAACGAGUGGAGUUGAAAUUUAGCGACUGAAAAAUUUGAAGAUUGUGAGAAAUAUGAAGAUGUGAAAAAUAGAUAGAUUGUAAGAAAUAGGAAGAUUGUAAGAAAUAUGAGAUUGUGAAAGAUAUAGACUGUGAAAAAUAGGAAGACUGAAAAAUUGUGAAAAAUAUAAAGAUUGAGUGACUCCUCCUUCAAGGGACGAUGAACAAAGAAGGGUUGAUGUUGCAGGCAGGAAAACAUAUGAAAUUUAUAAAUGAAAGGAGAGAAAAAAGCUGUAUAUAUAAUGAGUUUGAAAAAGGACGACAGGAACACUUAAAACAGACAUGAGUGAAGAACUGAACUUGAACCAACAAACAGAGGACCUUUUUUUGUGACACAGACUGAGGUUUGAAAAUAGCGAAUGAAAAGGUUGAAAAAAGAAAAGCUGUAAAUAAUUAGCAGGGGAGUAACAUUAAAAGAAAAUUGCGAGUGAAGAGUUAACCGAAAAUAAGAGAGAUGAGGUUUUAAUUGAUAGAAAAUGGUGAAUGGAAAGAAGGAAAAAGGGAAAAAUCUGUAUAUAUAUGUUUAAAAAGGGACAAGAACGGAAAAUUAAUGAAGAGCGGACAGGAAGAAAAAGGGAAGAAUCUGUAUAUAUGUUUAAAAAAAGGACGAACAAAAAAAAUUCAGAGCGGACAGAAAGAAAUAAGAAAAAGAUUGUAUAUAUGUUUAAAAAAGGACAAAAAUGAAUGAAGAUGGACAGAGAAGCAAAAGAGAAAAGGACAGGAAAGACAUGGGAAAGAAAAAGAGAGGAUGAAGGAAAUAGAGAAAAGAAUAGAGGAGAGAAAGAGAAGCAAGGAAAGCGUGGAAAAGAAAAUGAAUGAAAAAUAUAUGUUUAAAAAAGGACAAAAAUUAAAAAUGAAUGAAGAGCGAAAAAUUUGUCUAUAGGUCUGUUUUAAAAGGGACAAGACAAGAAAAAAAAAGAAUGAAGAGCGGAAAGAAAGAAAAAGAAAAAUCUGUAUAGAAAAAGGGAAAAAUCUGUAUAUAGGUCUGUUUUAAAAGGGACAAGAACCCCAAAAAAAAAAAAAAUGAAGAGCGGAAAGCAGGAAAACAAUCUGUAUAUAUGUUUAAAAGGGACAUAAGAAAAGAGCGAAGAGCUGAACUUAAAACUGAAAUGAAAUAGACAAUGAAAAAGAAAAAAAAAAAAACUAUAUAUAUAACAAGUUGGCAAAGGGACAGUAAACAUUGAAAAUAAAACUUGAUCUAAACUUAAAACAAUUAACAGAAAAUCUUUAGUGAUACAGACUUCCUAAGUUAUUCAAUUCAUCCAUUCAGAUAAGUAUAAUCCAUGCCGUAAGAACGCAGUAGAGGCGGCACCAUGGAAAAGUGUCCCUCAUUCCCUUAUGGUGGUAGGGCCAAGCGGACCGGUUGAAGCUUGGUAGCGCCGGUAGAAAAAAAGAUUUGACGCUCACCACCAUUGCAAAGAAAGAUGACUAGGGUUAUUCUGUGUUCCAGUACUACUGAGGUGCAUCGCUGUGGCCUGUGUGUGUGUGCGUGUGUGUGUAUAUACCGCUGGGUGACAUGACUCUUGCGUUCCCCUACCGUUAUCACCCAAACUUUCCUUGCUCUGUGGGUUUGGCUUCUCCCCUCCAUCCCCUGCCCCUCCUCCUCCUCCUCCUUAUCUGCUGCCCUCCUUACCCAUAACUACCCCUUGCCUCCAUAUCCCUCUUCCCUAUUGUCUUCCCAUUCUUUUCUUCUAUUCACUAAGUUCAGUCCUUUCUCCCAUUCUUCCCUCACCCGUCAUCCUUUACCUUUCUCCUGCUUCUCUUACCUUCCCACCCUUCCCCAAACUCAACCUCUUUUUACCCUCUUAUGCAACACAAUCUUCCCUUACCCUCUUACCCAAUCCACCUCUCUCUUACCCUGACCUAACCACUUCUUAUCCAAUCCAGCCCUAUCAUACCCUCUUAUCCAAUCCACCUCUCUCCUACCCUCUUAUCCAAUCCAGUCUUCUUAACUCUUACCCAACCCAGCCUCCCCUUACCCUCGCACCCUUCCCCAAAAGCCACAACACAAGAACACCGGCACCAACGGCAGGGUAAUGUAUGCCUGUCCCCCCUUUCUCACCCUCCCUCGCCUUCCCCCCCCCCUCCCUCCCCCAUCACCUUCACCGUCCAUUGUUCAUCGUCUUGCUCACCCUCACCAUCAAUAGUCUCAUGCCCAGACCGAGGUGGUGCGCAGAACAGAUCAAAACGUUACCUUUGGGGUGUGUGUGUGUGUACGUGUGUGUCAGGUUCGUUUGUACAUGUGUGUGUGCGUGUGUGGGGAGUAUAUAUAUAUGGUUGCAUUGGGUUUAUUAUCGACGGUACAGGGAGUUAGUUAGGCGUGCAGCUCUCUCUCAUCCCCCACCACCACCACUAUCAUCACCAUCACCCCCCCCCCACCACCACCAGCGCCGCCCCCCUCUGGUCUGUUUUUAGUAGUGUAGACGCAGCACUUUUUCCAGUUCUCUUGCAUUCCAGGUUUCACUUUGUGUGUUGUAUAUUAUCAUUAUUUUCUACCCAACGGUUUUCGAGACAGUGCUCAUCCUAGACAAUGCUGAACGUGUAGGAGACUUGCCGAGAGAGAGAGAGAGAGAUAGAGGAAUGGAGGGAGGGAGGGGAAACGGGUGUGACUGGCUGAAGGAGAGGACGAGCAUAGUUCCGAAGAGAGAGAUAAAUUAGAAACACUGCGAGGAAAUAGUAAGUGACGUAAGUGUUUUGGAAGUAGCCGAGAGAGAGAGAGAGAGAGAGAGAGAGAGAGAGAGAGAGAGAGAGACAACUCCCUUCGUCACCUCCCCUUCCCCCUCCCUCCCCCUAACGCGUGGGUCCUCUGAGGCAGCUGUACGAUAGUGAGGAAAAAGUAGAAGGGAGAUAAGGGAAACAGUAGAUAGGUAGAGAGAAAUUAGGUAGGUAGAGUGAGUGAGAGAGAGAGAGAGAAAGUGUGCAUUGUGAGGCCUUAAACACUCCGAGAUGAGACGAGUUGUACACACUCUUGCAAUAUGUUUUUUCCUUGUGUUUGUUGUUUCGUGAGCACUAAAUAUAUUGUGUAAAAAUUGC